rnacentral:rRNA from 1 species
GGUUGAUCCUGCCAGUAGCAUAUGCUUGUCUCAAAGAUUAAGCCAUGCAUGUCCAAGUAUAAACAACUUUAUACAGCGAAACUGCGUACAGCUCAUUACAUCAGUUAUAAUUUCUUUGAAGGUUAACAAACUACAUGGGAUACCUAUGGUAACUCCAGAGCUAAUACAUGCGUCAAGUCUUGACUAGGUGGCAACAUCUGGGAGAGAUGUAUUUAUUAGAUUCCAGCCUGCUCGUUUUCAUUGGGGGUCAAACUUCAGUGGAAAUCGUUUUGGUGAUUCAUGGUAACUGUUU